GCGGACGUGGUGUACGGUACACUGCUGCAUUUGAUCAUGGGAAUUCGUUGUGCUUGCAAGCAGUUGAACGGGGUUCGACUCCCCGCGUCCGCA